rnacentral:rRNA from 1 species
GAGAACGUGAAAUCCCUGAAGUUGAAGCAGAACGAGUCGAAAUUGUUAAGCAGUGAAGUGGUUUGGUUAUACCGUCCAUGUAGCUGUGGUACUGCGCUGGUUGCGCUGUCCGAGCUCUCCUGACUAGUCAGUGUUGCCCACCCUUGUGGUGGUGUCUUGCUUUCUGGAAUGGUUUGCCGUGUCAGUGUUUAGCUUGCCCUUUGGGUGAGAACCGGUGUUAAUGUCGAUCACCGUUCUGUCCCGUCUUGAAACACGGACCGAGGAGUGUAACUUGUGCGCGAGUCAGAGGGUGUUAAACCUUACGGCGAAAUGAAAGUAAAGGUCGAUUAAUCGGCUGAGAUGGGAUCCUUGCUUUACGGCUUGGCGCACCAUCGCCCUGUCUCGAAAGCUUGCUUUUGGGCAGAGGUAGAGCGUACAGGUUGCGACCCGAAAGAUGGUGAACUAUGCUUGAGCAGAACGAAGCCAGAGGAAACUCUGGUGGAAGUUCGUAUCGGUUCUGACGUGCAAAUCGAUCGAUUGACUUGAGUAUAGGGGCGAAAGACUAAUCGAACCAUCUAGUAGCUGGU